UCAAUGCCUGUCCGCCAAGCAGCGGGACU
rnacentral:piRNA from 2 species